CGACCGGCGGACGGGUGAGUAACGCGUGGGUAACCUGCCUCAUACAGGGGGAUAACAGUUGGAAACGGCUGCUAAUACCGCAUAAGCGCACAGUACCGCAUGGUACGGUGUGAAAAACUCCGGUGGUAUGAGAUGGACCCGCGUCUGAUUAGGUAGUUGGUGGGGUAACGGCCUACCAAGCCGACGAUCAGUAGCCGACCUGAGAGGGUGACCGGCCACAUUGGGACUGAGACACGGCCCAA
rnacentral:rRNA from 1 species